CCUCCCAGCACCUCCAAGUUAGCUUGCUUUGCUAACUCACUGCCAGGAAGUGGCGCGGGUGCCGAGGAAUGAACACAGCGUAUUGUUACCUACCCUGCCUUCUGUGUCUCUGCCCCUCUUGGAGUGCACUUCAGGGGCAAACUGGUCUUGAAGAAUAAGACACAGAUGGGGUACAUACAGCAG
rnacentral:lncRNA from 1 species